ACUCCUACGGGAGGCAGCAGUGGGGAAUAUUGGACAAUGGGGGCAACCCUGAUCCAGCCAUGCCGCGUGAGUGAUGAAGGCCCUAGGGUUGUAAAGCUCUUUUGUGCGGGAAGAUAAUGACGGUACCGCAAGAAUAAGCCCCGGCUAACUUCGUGCCAGCAGCCGCGGUAAU
rnacentral:rRNA from 2 species